rnacentral:rRNA from 1 species
UACGAAGGGUGCAAGCGUUACUCGGAAUUACUGGGCGUAAAGCGUGCGUAGGUGGUUCGUUAAGUCUGUCGUGAAAGCCCCGGGCUCAACCUGGGAAUGGCGAUGGAUACUGGCGGGCUAGAGUGCGGUAGAGGAGAGUGGAAUUCCCGGUGUAGCAGUGAAAUGCGUAGAGAUCGGGAGGAACAUCAGUUGCGAAGGCGGCACCCUGGACCCCACCUGACGCUGAGACGCGAAAGCCAGGGGAGCGAACGGG